AAACGACUCUCGGCAACGGAUAUCUCGGCUCUCGCAUCGAUGAAGAACGUAUCGAAAUGCGAUACUUGGUGUGAAUUGCAGAAUCCCGUGAACCAUCGAGUCUUUGAACGCAAGUUGCGCCCGAAGCCAUUAGGUCGAGGGCACGUCUGCCUGGGCGU
rnacentral:rRNA from 1 species